UGCGGAAGGAUCAUUACCGAGUGCGGGCCCUCUGGGUCCAACCUCCCAUCCGUGUCUAUCUGUACCCUGUUGCUUCGGCGUGGCCACGGCCCGCCGGAGACUAACAUUUGAACGCUGUCUGAAGUUUGCAGUCUGAGUUUUUAGUUAAACAAUCGUUAAAACUUUCAACAACGGAUCUCUUGGUUCCGGCAUCGAUGAAGAACGCAGCGAAAUGCGAUAAUUAAUGUGAAUUGCAGAAUUCAGUGAAUCAUCGAGUCUUUGAACGCACAUUGCGCCCCCUGGUAUUCCGGGGGGCAUGCCUGUCCGAGCGUCAUUGCUGCCCUCAAGCACGGCUUGUGUGUUGGGCUUCCGUCCCUGGCAACGGGGACGGGCCCAAAAGGCAGUGGCGGCACCAUGUCUGGUCCUCGAGCGUAUGGGGCUUUGUCACCCGCUCCCGUAGGUCCAGCUGGCAGCUAGCCUCGCAACCAAUCUUUUUAACCAGGUUGACCUCGGAUCAGGUAGGGAUACCCGCUGAACUUAAGCAUAUCAAUAACCCGGAGGA
rnacentral:rRNA from 1 species